rnacentral:rRNA from 1 species
GACGAACCGAGCAAACGUUAUUCGGAAUCACUGGGCUUAAAGGGCGCGUAGGCGGGCAUCCAAGUCGGGGGUGAAAUCCGGCAGCUUAACUGUCGAACUGCCGUGGAUACUGGGUGUCUCGAGGGAGGUAGGGGCGUGCGGAACUUUUGGUGGAGCGGUGAAAUGCGUUGAUAUCAAUAGGAACUCCGGUGGCGAAGGCGGCACGCUGGACCUCUUCUGACGCUGAGGCGCGAAAGCCAGGGGAGCAAACGGG